rnacentral:rRNA from 1 species
AUGGCGUAUGCAAGUGAUGAGAGUAUGUUUGAGUAUCUAAAUGUUGUCAGCAAGAUGUUUGAUAGUGAGGCUGAAGGCUAUGAAUUCUACAACAAAUAUGCUCUUGAAAAAGGUUUUAGUGUGAGGAAAAGCUACGUUGAGUGGGAUGGAUCCAACAAAUACAUAAUUUUAAGGAAAAUUGUGUGUAGUCGUCAAGGGUUUCGCGAAGAGAAGCACAUGAAAAGAAAGAUGGAAGAUAGAAAGAGGAGGCCACGAAGUUUAACUCGUGUUGGGUGUAAUGCUAAAUUGGUCAUUACGAGACAGGAGGAAACCGGUCGGUGGUUUGUCAAGGAUUUCAUCGAUGAGCACAGCCAUCCUCUAGCCCCACGGGAUCUUUCUUGUCUGCUGCGUUCGCACAGACGAAUUAGCGAUGAGCAGAAAGCGGACAUUGCGGACAUGGAAAAAUGUGGGAUCCGCAAAUACCGUAUUAUGGAUAUUUUGUGCUUUCAAUACGGUGGAUUUGAUAAGGUUGGAUGCAUAAAGAGGGACAUUUAUAAUUUCUGCCAUGCUAAUAAGCAGGAGACAAUCAGUGCCGGUGAUGCUAAUACGGUGAUCAUGCACAUGAUGGCGAGGCGAGAGCGAGAUGUGGAUUUUUUCUUCAAGUACUUGGUAGACGAGCAUGGCCAUCUGAAGGGACUGUUCUGGGCUGAUAGUCAAUCACGACUUGACUACGAGGCUUUCGGAGACGUCAUUGUUUUCGAUAGCACAUACAGAACCAACAAAUACAAUCUGCCAUUCGUGCCGUUUGUCGGGUUGAAUCACCACCGGAGCACUGUCAUUUUUGGCUGUGGUAUAAUUUCUCAUGAAACAAGCCAGUCAUACGAGUGGAUGUUGCGGACCUUUUCUGAUUGCAUGGCACAGAAGCAUCCGAUAUCUGUGAUCACAGAUGGGGACCUUGCAAUGCAGAGAGCAAUCAGGGUGGUCUGGCCAGACUCAAACCAUAGACUAUGUAUAUGGCACAUUCAGCAGAACAUUGUACGCCAUCUACAUGAUGACGACGUAAAGGAGGAAUUCAGAUCUUUCAUUUAUGAUACUUCUUCCAUUGAAGAGCAUGAGAUAGAAUGGAUAUACUUCUUACAACGGAAUAAAGUAACCAGUGAGGAGUCUUGGCUGCAUCAGAUGUAUCAAAUGAGAAAGUUGUGGUGUGCUCCAUAUCUUGAGGGGCGUUGUUUCCUAGGAUUGAGCAGCAAUCAGAGGAGUGAGAGCUUGAACUCUGUGCUACAUACGCAUCUUGAGGGUAAGAUGUCGUUGUUUGAAAUGCUAGAGCACUAUGAGCGUUGCCUUGCGUCGCGACGGAUUAACAAAGCUCUCCAUGACGUCUAA